rnacentral:rRNA from 1 species
GAUGAACGCUGGCGGCGUGCCUAAUACAUGCAAGUAGAACGCUGAAGCUUGGUGCUUACACCGAGCGGAUGAGUUGCGAACGGGUGAGUAACGCGUAGGUAACCUGCCUCUUAGCGGGGGAUAACUAUUGGAAACGAUAGCUAAUACCGCAUAAAAGUCGACAUUGCAUGAUGUUGACUUGAAAGGUGCAAUUGCAUCACUAAGAGAUGGACCUGCGUUGUAUUAGCUAGUUGGUGAGGUAACGGCUCACCAAGGCGACGAUACAUAGCCGACCUGAGAGGGUGAUCGGCCACACUGGGACUGAGACACGGCCCAGACUCCUACGGGAGGCAGCAGUAGGGAAUCUUCGGCAAUGGGGGCAACCCUGACCGAGCAACGCCGCGUGAGUGAAGAAGGUUUUCGGAUCGUAAAGCUCUGUUGUAAGAGAAGAACGAGUGUGAGAGUGGAAAGUUCACACUGUGACGGUAACUUACCAGAAAGGGACGGCUAACUACGUGCCAGCAGCCGCGGUAAUACGUAGGUCCCGAGCGUUAUCCGGAUUUAUUGGGCGUAAAGCGAGCGCAGGCGGUUAGAUAAGUCUGAAGUUAAAGGCUGUGGCUUAACCAUAGUACGCUUUGGAAACUGUUUAACUUGAGUGCAGAAGGGGAGAGUGGAAUUCCAUGUGUAGCGGUGAAAUGCGUAGAUAUAUGGAGGAACACUGGUGGCGAAAGCGGCUCUCUGGUCUGUAACUGACGCUGAGGCUCGAAAGCGUGGGGAGCAAACAGG